ensembl:misc_RNA Metazoa_SRP Metazoan signal recognition particle RNA
GCCCAGGCAUGGUGGCGGGUGCCUGUAAUCCCAACUACUCGGGAGGCUGAGGUGGGAGGACUGCUUGAGCCCGGGAGUUCAAGGCUGCAGUGAACCAUGAUCAGACCACUGCACUCCUGCCUGGGCAACAGAGCAAGACCCUGUCUCCA